AGUCAAAGCAGCAAUCAAAGAGAAGUUCCCCGAUAUUCUCAAUGUUGUGUUCACGGACUAGCUUGCUUCGCGACAGUUCUUCUUUUGAACAUACUGUGAAGUUUAAUGCCAAUACUAUUAUCUCUUGUGUAAGAGAGAUGUAUACUCCCAAUCACUUCGAGCAAACUUACAGUACAUGUUCACUAUGUAAAGAAAUAACAAUAUAGAUGAAGUGGCCAAGUUUUCUUCCCACCUCCACUAUAUGUAUUUUU
rnacentral:misc_RNA from 1 species